GGCUGCCGGAAACUGUUCAAUGCCGUCACCGCUGGGUUAGGCGCAGGCAGAUGGACGCGACGCUGGAGGACUGCGGACGCCGGAAGAUGGGCGCGCCGCUGUCGGACUCGCGCCUGGGCAGGGGGCUGUCGGACUCGCGCCUAGGCAGGGGACGAGGACGGCAGUCGGCAGCGGGCCUCGCGCCUACACACGCGCCGACGAUUCUCCGGCAGUAUAUGAAGCGGAUCCGCAGUGGCGGCGCUCUGGGGAUGAGAAUAAGAGCACGGUGGAGAUGAGAAUGCUAAGAGAUGGAAAGAGUUUAUUAAAAAGCUUGUCUGGAAUUACCCCACUGUUAUCCUUAAGUACUCAGAACCCACACGCCGGGCUGGAGAAGGAGGUGGCAGACGUAGCGGCAGCGUCGCGGCGGCUGUUAGCCGGAGAGGGAGGCGCCUGCAGAUUUGGGAGAGGGGUGAACGCUGCUUUGUGUGCGUGUGUUCACAGAUUUGAGAGAGAGAACGAGAUUUAACAGAGAGAAGGAACUUGGGCCUUAAUGUAUGGUCUUAAGCUUUAUUUUGUUAAUGGGCUGAAUUUGCUUUUUAACAUAUUUAAAUUUUUGGAUUUAUAUUAUUAAUUGAAAUUGGGCUCUUAAUUUCAAUUAAUUUAGGCCUGCAAUAUAAUU